rnacentral:rRNA from 1 species
UACAGAGGGGGCAAGCGUUGUUCGGAAUUACUGGGCGUAAAGGGCGCGUAGGCGGCCUGUUAAGUCGGACGUGAAAUCCCCGGGCUCAACCCGGGAACUGCGUCCGAUACUGGCAGGCUUGAAUCCGGGAGAGGGAUGCGGAAUUCCAGGUGUAGCGGUGAAAUGCGUAGAUAUCUGGAGGAAUACCGGUGGCGAAGGCGGCGAUCUGGACGAUGACUGACGCUGAGGCGCGAAAGCGUGGGGAGCGAACAGG